rnacentral:rRNA from 1 species
UUUUUUAAUUGAAAACUUGUAUGAAUGGUUUUACGAAAUAUUUACUGUUUCAAAGAAAAAUUAUUAGAAUUUAAUUUUUUAGUUAAAAAGCUAAAAUAUAAUUAAAAGACGAGAAGACCCUAUAGAGUUUUAUAAAUUUAUUUAUAUUAUCUUUUUUAAUAUUUUUAAAUUUAUAUAGGUAAAUAUAUUUUAUUGGGGUGAUAGUAAAAUUUAAUUAUCUUUUAUUUAUAAAAUUCAAAGAUUUUUGAUUAUUUGAUUCUUUAUUAUGGAUUAUAAGAUUAAAUUACCUUAGGGAUAACAGCGUAAUUUUUUUUAGAGUUCUUAUCAAUAAAAAAUUUUGC